GUCAAUAUUCAAACAAAUAUCCCAAAAAUUCAAAAGUACAAGUCAAAGUGAAAGGCCAUACCAUUUCUGACUGAUACCAAUCAUCAAACUGAUGAAGAGUUGAAGGAAUAACUGAUGCUUCUUGAUAGUUCCUAAAGAACUUGGCUAGCAGCACCUCAACAUCAUCAUCAGAAAUAUCAUCCGGAGACAUACGUGAUGGGUCAUUAAAACCCGAGUACUC
rnacentral:lncRNA from 1 species